rnacentral:tRNA from 2 species
CAUCAAGAAGCUAACCCAGCGUUAACCUUUUAAGUUAAAGACUGAGAAUGUUAUAUUCUCCUUGAUGA